GAAAUUUAACGGACUUGGCGGCAAGAUAGCUUUUUAGAGGAACCUGCCCUAUAAACGAUGAACCACGAGGGCCUUACUUUUUUUAGAAAUUCAGUUUGUAUACCGCUGUUGUCAGUUAGGUUCUUGAGAAUAUUUUCGAGUAUGGUAAUAUCCAUUGACUUCAAGUAAAGGUGCAGCUUAUGAAAAAGAUAGAGGUGGGUUACAUUUAGAAGAUUAAAACGUAUAAGAUAUAUUAAAUAGUCUUUGAAGGUGGAUUUAACUGUAAAACUUAAAUAAGUUUGGUGCUAGCUCUAUUUUGUGUACACAC
rnacentral:rRNA from 1 species